UAGUUGGAUUUCUGCCGAGGACGUCCGGUCCGCCCUCUGGGUGAGUAUCUGGCUCGGCCUUGGCAUCUUCUUGGAGAACGUAACUGCACUUGACUGUGUGGUGCGGUAUUCAAGACUUUUACUUUGAGGAAAUUAGAGUGUUUCAAGCAGGCGCACGCCUUGAAUACAUUAGCAUGGAAUAAUGAGAUAGGACCUUGGUUCUAUUUUGUUGGUUUCUAGAGCUGAGGUAAUGAUUAAUAGGGACAAUUGGGGGCAUUCGUAUCAACACGUCAGAGGUGGAAUUCUUGGAUUGUGUUGCGACGAACUACUGCGAAAGCAUUUGCCAAGGAUGUUUUCAUUGAUCAAGAACGAAAGUAAGGGGAUCGAAGACGAUUAGAUACCGUCGUAGUCUUUACCAUAAACUAUGCCAACUAGAGAUGGGGCAUCGUUCACUUACGACUUGCUCCGCACCUUAUGAGAUAUCAAAGUCUUUGGGUUCCGGGGGGAGUAUGGUCGCAAGGCUGAAACUUAAAGGAAUUGACGGAAGGGCACC
rnacentral:rRNA from 1 species